rnacentral:rRNA from 1 species
UCUGACCUACGGGGCGCAGCAGUGAGGAAUAUUGGUCAAUGGACGCAAGUCUGAACCAGCCAUGCCGCGUGCAGGAAGACGGCUCUAUGAGUUGUAAACUGCUUUUGUACGAGGGUAAACGCAGAUACGUGUAUCUGUCUGAAAGUAUCGUACGAAUAAGGAUCGGCUAACUCCGUGCCAGCAGCCGCGGUAAUACGGAGGAUUCAAGCGUUAUCCGGAUCUAUUGGGUUUAAAGGGUGCGCAGGCGGUCUGUUAAGUCAGCGGUCAAAGCCCGGGGCUCAACCCCGGCCCGCCGUUGAAACUGG